ACGGAAGGCAGCAGUGGGGAAUAUUGGGCAAUGGGCGAAAGCCUGACCCAGCGACGCCGCGUGAAGGAAGAAGGUCUUCGGAUUGUAAACUUCUUUUAUGAGGGACGAAGAAUGACGGUACCUCAUGAAUAAGCCACGGCUAACUACGUGCCAGCAGCCGCGGUAAUACGUAGGUGGCAAGCGUUAUCCGGAUUUACUGGGUGUAAAGGGCGCGUAGGCGGGAAGGCAAGUCAGAUGUGAAAUCCAUGGGCUCAACUCAUGAACUGCAUUUGAAACUGUCUUUCUUGAGUGUCGGAGAGGUAGAUGGAAUUCCUAGUGUAGCGGUGAAAUGCGUAGAUAUUAGGAGGAACACCAGUGGCGAAGGCGGCUUACUGGACUGUAACUGACGUUGAGGCUCGAAAGCGUGGGGAGCAAACAGGAUUAGAUACCCUGGUA
rnacentral:rRNA from 1 species